rnacentral:rRNA from 1 species
AACGAACGCUGGCGGCAUGCCUAACACAUGCAAGUCGAACGAGACCUUCGGGUCUAGUGGCGCACGGGUGCGUAACGCGUGGGAAUCUGCCCUUCGGUUCGGAACAACAGUUAGAAAUGACUGCUAAUACCGGAUAAUGACGUAAGUCCAAAGAUUUAUCGCCGAAGGAUGAGCCCGCGUAAGAUUAUGUAGUUGGUGGGGUAAUGGCCUACCAAGCCGACGAUCUUUAGCUGGUCUGAGAGGAUGAUCAGCCACACUGGGACCGAGACACGGCCCAGACUCCUACGGGAGGCAGCAGUGGGGAAUAUUGGGACAAAUGGGCGAAAGCCUGAUCCAGCAAUGCCGCGUGAGUGAUGAAGGCCUUAGGUUGUAAAGCUCUUUUACCUAGGGAUGAUAAUGACAGUACCUGGAG